UACAGAGGGCUCAAGCGUUGUUCGGAUUCAUUGGGCGUAAAGGGUGCGUAGGUGGUUGGGUAAGUCAAAUGUGAAAUCCCGGAGCUCAACUCCGGAACUGCAUUCGAUACUGCCCGGCUCGAGGAUUGGAGAGGAGACUGGAAUUCACGGUGUAGCUGUGAAAUGCGUAGAGAUCGUGAGGAACACCCGUGGCGAAGGCGGGUCUCUGGACAAUUCAUGACACUGAGGAACGAAGGCCAGGGGAGCAAACGGG
rnacentral:rRNA from 1 species